rnacentral:rRNA from 1 species
AGAGUUUGAUCAUGGCUCAGGAUGAACGCUGGCGGUAUGCUUUACACAUGCAAGUCAUACGAGAGUUUUUAACUCAAGUGGCGGACGGGUGAGUAACACGUAAGAAUUUGCCUUUAGGAGGGGGAUAACAGCUGGAAACGGCUGCUAAUACCCCAUAUGCUUUCGAGUGAAAUGGAUUUUUCCGCCUGAAGAGAAGCUUGCGGCUGAUUAGCUUGUUGGUGAGGUAAUGGCUCACCAAGGCGACGAUCAGUAUCUGGUUUGAGAGGACGAUCAGACACACUGGAACUGAGACACGGUCCAGACUCCUACGGGAGGCAGCAGUGGGGAAUUUUCCGCAAUGGGCGAAAGCCUGAUCCAGCCAUGCCGCGUGAGUGAAGAAGGCCUUCGGGUUGUAAAGCUCUUUCGGCGGGGAAGAAAUUGCACGGGUUAAUACCCUGUGUAGAUGACGGUACCCGAAUAAGAAGCACCGGCUAACUCUGUG